GCCGGGCAAGGUGGCGUGUGCCUGUAAUCCCAGCUACUCAGGAGGCUGAGGCAGGAGAAUCGCUUGAACCCGGGAGGCGGAGGUUGCAGUGAGCCGAGAUUGCACCACUGCACUCCAGCCUGGGUGACAGAGCGAGACUCCGUCUCAA
rnacentral:sRNA from 1 species